rnacentral:rRNA from 1 species
CUACGGGUGGCUGCAGUGAGGAAUUUUGCGCAAUGGGGGAAACCCUGACGCAGCAACGCCGCGUGAGUGAUGAAGGCCCUCGGGUCGUAAAGCUCUGUCAAGUGGGAAGAAUCUAUCGAUAUUGAAUAGAUAUUGAUACUGACGGUACCACAAGAGGAAGCACCGGCUAACUCCGUGCCAGCAGCCGUGGUAAUACGGGGGGUGCAAGCGUUAUUCGGAAUCAUUGGGCGUAAAGGGCGCGCAGGCGGCCUUGUCAGUCAGAUGUGAAAGCCCGGGGCUCAACCCCGGAAGUGCAUUUGAAACUAUGAGGCUUGAGUAUGGGAGAGGGAAGUGGAAUUCCUGGUGUAGCGGUGAAAUGCGUAGAUAUCAGGAGGAACACCGGUGGCGAAGGCGACUUCCUGGACCAAUACUGACGCUGAGGCGCGAAGGCGUGGGGAGCAAACAGGAUUAGAUACCCGAGUAGUC